ensembl:lncRNA
AACCAUGUGAACACUCUAGAACCAUGUGACCGCUCUACAACCAUGUGACCACUCUAGAACCAUGUGAACACUCUACAACCAUGUGAACACUCUAGAACCAUGUGAACACUCUAGAACCAUGUGACCGCUCUACAACCAUGUGAACACUCUAGAACCAUGUGACUGCUCUAGAACCACGUGAACUCUAGAACCAUGUGAACACUCUAGAACCAUGUGACCGCUCUACAACCAUGUGAACACUCUAGAACCAUGUGACCGCUCUACAACCACGUGAACACUCUAGAACCAUGUGAACACUCUAGAACCAUGUGACCGCUCUAGAACCAUGUGAACACUCUAGAACCAUGUGACCGCUCUACAACCACGUGACCGCUCUACAACCAUGUGAACACUCUAGAACCAUUUGAACACCCUAGAACCAUGUGAAAACUCUAGAACCAUGUGAACACUCUAGAACCAUGUGAACAUUCUAGAACCAUGUGACCACUCUAGAACCUUUUGAACAUUCUUGAACCAUGUGAACACUCUAGAACCAUGUGACCGCUCUAGAACCAUGUGAACACUCUAGAACCAUGUGACCGCUCUACAACCAUGUGAACACUCUAGAACCAUGUGACCGCUCUACAACCACGUGACCGCUCUACAACCAUGUGACCGCUCUACAACCACGUGACCGCUCUACAACCACGUGAACUCUAUAGAACCAUGUGAACACUCUAGAACCAUGUGACCGCUCUACAACCAUGUGAACACUCUAGAACCAUGUGACCGCUCUACAACCACGUGAACACUCUAGAACCAUGUGAACACUCUAGAACCAUGUGACCGCUCUAGAACCAUGUGAACACUCUAGAACCAUGUGACCGCUCUACAACCACGUGACCGCUCUACAACCACGUGACCGCUCUACAACCACGUGACCGCUCUACAACCACGUGAACUCUAUAGAACCAUGUGAACACUCUAGAACCAUGUGACCGCUCUACAACCAUGUGAACACUCUAGAACCAUGUGAACACUCUAGAACCAUGUGACCGCUCUACAACCAUGUGAACUCUAUAGAACCAUGUGAACACUCUAGAACCAUGCAUGUGAACUCUAUAGAACCAUGUGAACACUCUAGAACCAUGUGACCGCUCUAGAACGUGGCCUCUGUUGAACUUCCCACAUCAAGGGUCAGUGGAUGCCAUUCCAUAUUUGUUUCUGUCAAGUUCACUCUCUCACUCAUCUUCUUUCUCUCUCUCCCCCCCCCUCUCUCUCUGUCUCUCUCUCUCCUCCUGGACAGCUGUGUGUGUGUGUGGUUCCUCUCUGUCCUCAGGCCCUAUAUUACAGUCUGUACUGGGAACCAUUAACGACAUAUUCUAUAUUACUGUUUACCUGUUACCCUCUUCUGACUGUGCAGGUUGGUUGGUACUAUAAUAAUGCAUCUCGUGACCGGUAUAGAGGAUCUGAUCUAAUUGACUAUAGUCCAGGGAGGCACUUCCGUUUGAGUAUGUAGGACAUAAAUAAGAGGGUUAAAGUUCAAGGCACUAGAAAACUCAUUUGACUAUUUUGUUUUUCUAUGCACAUUUUGUUCCGUGUUUCAAUUUUGUUCUGUAUAGGCCAUAAUAUGUAUAUAAUACAAAUUAAAAAUACAUAAAUGCUGUAAAAAUGAAUAGCAAUAUGGAAGUCACCAUUUUCUUAUUGAGGGUAAUACUACCGUAGGCUCCAUGCAGAGAAGCAGAAGCUAAACAUGAAAUAUUAUAUUUUUUUAGUGAGGAGGGAGGGGGUUUGGUAUCCCAGUUAGGUGUCCUCCUCUGUGGGGAGGGGGGGUUUUGGUAUCCCAGUUAGGUCUCCUCCUCUGUGGGGAGGGAGGGGUUGGUAUCCCGGUUAGGUGUCCUCAUCUGUGGGGAGGGGGGUUUGGUAUCCCGGUUAGGUGUCCUCAUCUGUGGGGGGGGGGUUUGGUAUCCCGGUAUGUGUCCUCCUCUGUGGGGAGGGAGGGGGGUUUGGUAUCCCAGUUAGGUCUCCUCCUCUGUGGGGAGGGAGGGGGUUUGGUAUCCCGGUAUGUCUCCUCCUCUGUGGGGAGGGAGGGGGUUUGGUAUCCCGGUAUGUCUCCUCCUCUGUGGGGAGGGAGGGGGUUUGGUAUCCCGGUAUGUCUCCUCCUCUGUGGGGAGGGAGGGGGUUUGGUAUCCCGGUAGGUGUCCUCCUCUGUGGGGAGGGAGGGGGGUUUGGUAUCCCGGUAGGUGUCCUCCUCUGUGGGGAGGGGGUUUGGUAUGGCUGUAGGUCUCCUCCUCUGUGGGGAGGGGGGUUGGUAUCCCGAAUAGGUCUCCUCCUCUGUGGGGAGGGAGGGGGUUUGGUAUGCCGG